AUUCAAGUUCUUUACAAAACAAGUGCUUUUUGUGGCACAGACACCACUAUGGAGUUUAAACAGUAUUUUCCUUCACAUUGUUCUAAUUGUGCCUUUCAGUUAAUCUCAAAAACGGGUUUGACUGUAUAUUGUUGCUCUUUUCUGAAUGCCAUCCAUGUUUAGGCCAUAAAUGCUAUAUGGUGACUGAAUAUUUUCACAUUUGUUGUUAUGAAAAAACUAUUAUAGGAAUAAUUAUUUCGGUUUUGUUAGACCAUUUCAACCCUCUUAGUGAUUCCUUAAGAGAAAGCCACAGAAAGUGAUGUGGAAACUUUGUUUUAAAUGGGGUUUAGGCAUUUCUAAUAAAACCGUUGAUACAUUAGCAAACAAACGUCUUUACUUUCAUAAGAUUCUUUAGAUUGUUUGGCUAAAUGGUUUGAAAGCCGCAUGAAAAUUCAGCGUCAACGUAACUGCUCUUUGCUUGAAAGGCACCGCGGUUUGUGCGUAAUUACGCACACAGCAGUGCAUUUCACAUUGAUGAACCUCGGGCGUUUCUUUUGUUUAACCAAAGGAAAAGCAUGUACGUACAAGUUUAAAACAGUACAACCUCUUUAACUAAUUAUCAUCACAGAGGCGUUUCAUUUUUCUGCAAAGCAAGAGCGUCUGACUCACCUUCGGGAAGCAGCAUCGCCAGUUGAACUCAGUUGCAGAUAGCAGGACACCGUUUCAUCUGGUCGUCCUCGCGGUCACCGCAGCUCUUACUCCUUGGCAGGGGAAUAAAACUCCGGCUAUCACAUAGCAGCAGCAGCAGACAGAGAGAAACAGGAUGCCCAGCAUCACCACACACUGGGCUAUUCACCUGUCAAUCAAACCCCUGCAGCCAGGUGCGCUGCUGGCCUGCUCCUACAACACACUGCCAACACCACGAAGAUAAGGAGGACUCAGUCAUACAAACAAUCAAUCAAGAGGUGGCUAGGUGCUUAUGGCUAGGUCUUUAGAUGUGGAUGUAAAUAAAUAGUAAAAACACAAGUCAGUAUUGCUAAUUUUAAAGUGACACAUACAAUUAUGUCACAGCUUUUCAUAAUUUGCCAACUUGAGGCACUUUUUGCAUGUUUUCUAUAUUAAAAGUUGUGAUAGUCACAUUAUUUUUGACAUUAUAGACGGUUAUCCUGCUUAGAAGCAAACCAUCAGAGGAUUGUUAAUUCAGGGUGGGUUGGAAUGAGUCACCUUGGUUAAAUAAAAUUCUAGUAAUAAAACUGCAAUAUUUUAUCUAGUAUCUAUAGAUUCUCUAGGCCCUCCAGUGAAGUAAACAUUAUUUAUUAAUAAAUGGUGAUAGAUCUUGUCACUUAACAAAGCCAUUAUGCCUGCAACUUCAGAUGUAUCCUCUAUUUUACUGGGGUUUUUUUGUCUUGAUGCUAUGUGGACUUGCAGACAGAUAGGAGUCAAACAGUCCAUGGCAGGACUAAAAGAUUAAGGAUUCAUGAAAGAACCAGCACAAAGAAACCCCACAAAAGUGAAUUCCAUUUAGGAAUCUUAGUUAUGCCAAAACAGAAGAUUUUUAAAAAGGCCACUAUAACCUUACUGUUACAUCACAUAACCUAUAAUUCCCAACAGCAACACUAUUGGAGUCAUCUUUAUUUUCCAAUGGGUCCAAACAUCAAAUCAAUCUAUUGUAGCAUGGCUGUAACAAAGUGUAUACUAUAAUGAAGUCAGUCCUAUGGAAACACUUUAAUAAUGCAACAGGUUCAUUUAUUUUGUGUGCACUUUAAUAGCACAGAGUGCUAUCAGGAAGCAUGCUCUUUUCAGUCAUGUACGCAGCCCUAUGCAGUACAGUAAUCUGCUCUGGGAUGCUUGGUGGAGUUCCAGUAGAUAUACUAGAGAGACAUGCCAACAUCGAGUGGAAGGAUACAAAAUGAGCUUUUGUCACUCAGGUUGCCUGGGAAACCUGAGGCUGGUUUAGUGUGCAGCAGGGGCAGUGCUGUACCGUUAAAUCCACUGUAAUAUUGUCACUGAGGUCCUCGAUGGAUCUACACCACAUUCUGCUGUUGAUUAAUAGACAUAAACACAUCAGUGGCAGGUCUCAUGUUUGGUGCGAAUACGCAGACUGAAAUGCGGUGUUCAGAUUAUUGCCAGGGUUUCUUGGAGAGGUUCAGCAUGGCACAACAUGCUACCAAGCAGCCCAUCUGUCGUUGUGCUCAUUCUCAGUGUGUCCCACUAUAAGUAAGGUGAUCUGAACAUUAUAAGAGCCUAUAUCACUUCCUUGUUGAGGCUCUAAAUGCACAAAAAAAAAAAAAACUAAAAAAAACUGUUUGCUCAACCGGGAACCUUAUGAAACACUAGUGCAAUACUACUGUACAGGAAGUCAAACUCCACAAUACAUAAGCCAUUUGCCAGUUCUUCUGCAUGCAUAGUCUUCAUCUAAAUUGGCCUGCUUGCUUCAUUUUCACUGGCAAUGUAAUUCCCUGUAGGUUAAAUUCCUGUUGGUCUUGUAAAUUUAGUGCCUCAGCCUAGUUUUUAUUCAAAUGUAUGCACAGCCAAACAAGCUUAUAAACACAUUGGAUCCUAAACAACAACAAGCAUAAACCGUUUCUCUAUUUAUCAAUAUUGUGACUGAGAUUAUAAGAAACUGACUGUGAUAUACUAAUUGAACGUUACAUUGUUGGCAGGUAGUUUCUUGUUGCAUGUAUUUGUUACAUUUCCUAGGGGGGUGGAAUUAUUCCCAUUCAGAAAUAUCUCAGUGCUGCAAAGAAAGAACAGAGUGUGGAUUAAUUUACACAGACUUUAAUAUCUUUAUUUACAGAUGAAUCAUUUUGACAUAUUUAUCUGUUGAUGAUGCAAUACUUUUCAAACUCAUUUUGAACUAUUUCCAUCCAGACUUGUGACAGGUUGUGUUACGGCUGAACAUGUUUGUUUUUUUUCUCUCAGUUUAAAAACAAGAAUCCAAAUGUAUUCCUGCAGGAGGCCAAAAUCAAAUAAAAUGUUUAAAAAAUGUGAGGAAAAA